GAUGAACGCUAGCGGGAGGCUUAACACAUGCAAGUCGAGGGGCAGCAUAGGGUAGCAAUACUCUGAUGGCGACCGGCAAACGGGUGAGUAACGCGUAUGCAACCUACCCUGUACAGGGGGAUAACCCGGAGAAAUUCGGACUAAUAUCCCGUAAUAAUAUCCGGAGGCAUCUUUGGAUAUUUAAAGUUCCGACGGUACGGGAUGGGCAUGCGUAACAUUAGCUGGUUGGUAAGGUAACGGCUUACCAAGGCUAUGAUGUUUAGGGGUCCUGAGAGGGUGGUCCCCCAACUGGUACUGAGACACGGACCAGACUCCUACGGGAGGCAGCAGUGAGGAAUAUUGGUCAAUGGGCGCAAGCCUGAACCAGCCAUCCCGCGUGCAGGAAGACGGCCCUAUGGGUUGUAAACUGCUUUUCCAGGGAGAGAAACUUACGCACGUGUUGCGUGACUGACCGGUACCCUGGGAAUAAGCAUCGGCUAACUCCGUGCCAAGCAGGCCCGCGGUAAGCACGAGAGUAC
rnacentral:rRNA from 1 species